rnacentral:rRNA from 1 species
UACGUAGGCGGAAAAUUAAGUCAGUAGUGAAAUCCCACAGCUUAACUGUGGAACUGUUAUUGAUACUGGUUUUCUUGAAUAUAGUUGAGGUAGGCGGAAUGUGUAAUGUAGCGGUGAAAUGCUUAGAUAUUACACAGAACACCGAUUGCGAAGGCAGCUUACUAAGCUAUGAUUGACGCUGAGGUACGAAAGCGUGGGGAGCGAACAGGAUUAGAUACCCUGGAAGUCC